ACAUGCAAGUCGAGCGAACAGACAAGGAGCUUGCUCCUUUGACGUUAGCGGCGGACUGGUGAGUAACACGUGGGUAACCUACCUAUAAGACUGGGAUAACUUCGGGAAACCGGAGCUAAUACCGGAUAAUAUUUCGAACCGCAUGGUUCGAUAGUGAAAGAUGGUUUUGCUAUCACUUAUAGAUGGACCCGCGCCGUAUUAGCUAGUUGGUAAGGUAACGGCUUACCAAGGCGACGAUACGUAGCCGACCUGAGAGGGUGAUCGGCCACACUGGAACUGAGACACGGUCCAGACUCCUACGGGAGGCAGCAGUAGGGAAUCUUCCGCAAUGGGCGAAAGCCUGACGGAGCAACGCCGCGUGAGUGAUGAAGGUCUUCGGAUCGUAAAACUCUGUUAUUAGGGAAGAACAUACGUGUAAGUAACUGUGCACGUCUUGACGGUACCUAAUCAGAAAGCCACGGCUAACUACGUGCCAGCAGCCGCGGUAAUACGUAGGUGGCAAGCGUUAUCCGGAAUUAUUGGGCGUAAAGCGCGCGUAGGCGGUUUUUUAAGUCUGAUGUGAAAGCCCACGGCUCAACCGUGGAGGGUCAUUGGAAACUGGAAAACUUGAGUGCAGAAGAGGAAAGUGGAAUUCCAUGUGUAGCGGUGAAAUGCGCAGAGAUAUGGAGGAACACCAGUGGCGAAGGCGACUUUCUGGUCUGUAACUGACGCUGAUGUGCGAAAGCGUGGGGAUCAAACAGGAUUAGAUACCCUGGUAGUCCACGCCGUAAACGAUGAGUGCUAAGUGUUAGGGGGUUUCCGCCCCUUAGUGC
rnacentral:rRNA from 1 species